CUGAUAACUCCCUAACAAUAGAGCAUUCCCAAUCUUAUACCAAAGGAGUAAUCAUCUCUAUUGAAGUGUUUCCCUGUUUCUUCACAUUUAAUUUCAAUUUCACUCAUGGAGGAAGAUGUUUAGCAGAGCUUAUGUUUCUGCAAAUCCGACUUUGAUUUUGCUAUUAUGGGCAUCUUCUUCGAGAGUGGUAGCGAACCAGAUAUCACAACGAAAGGAAUCCUUUUGGUAGAUAAGGGUGAUGAUGUUGUUAAAUUGCUCGAAAAGCUUGUGGAUCUGAAACUCUGUGAACCUAAUGAAUUUACAAUGGAAUAAUGAUCGAUGACGUCUGAUAAGGUUGACAUCUGGAUUUUUCUAUGACACUUCUUUAGAAGAAGAUUUGAAAGAAGUAGUAAGAAACCUAUGUCAAGUCUAAUAAUGUGUUAAUUGACGCGUUAUGCUGUGAAAUUAUUCGAAAAGAUUUUGGAUUUCUGAUGUGAGUCUAACUAUGUAAUUAUUAUGGACUCAAGGAGAUGCCUGGACUUUGCAAAGUUGGACAAAUAGUUAUAGCUCACGAUCUACAUCAUAUAUAAAUGCACUGCAUAGCUACACAAAUAAAGUUUGUGUUGAUCAACAAAGUCCAACAAUCUGUGGGGAUUCCUUCUUCGUUAAAGGAUUGUUUUUAGAGGAUAGGGUUUGGUCUUUUCUUCAUUAAAUGAUUGUUUGUAGAGGAUAAGGUUGAUUGAUGUUAGAGGAUAAGGUUGCCUAUUUGAGACUGUAUGAGCCUAAUGAUGUUAUGAUAUGGAUAGUGAUAUGUGAGCAUUGCAAAUGUUGCACAAAUAUUUGUAGCCCACAAGUAUUUGAUGCUUUGGUUGCAAUUCUACACUCGAAUGUAGUAUCACAAAUCAUGUGGUUAAGUAUGGUUAUGUUGUUAUUGCAACUCCUGCUUUGAUGUUGCCUUAUGGAUUGGAAGAGAUGCAUUUGAGUGGCAUGGACAUUUUCUAAGAAUACAUGGAUAAUAUUGGCUCUUUGCUUGUGAUAUCAUCCCUAUGCGUUCGGUGGUUCAAAGUUGGAAGUUUUUCAAGACUUUAGCUUCUUCUAAUGAAGAUAGUGAUUUGGUGCAAUGGAAACCGAGAUUUGGUGUCUUGCUUUAGCUAUCUAAGCAAGCAUGAAACACUGUUACUCGAAGAGAUCCAUUGGAUGUAUGCAUGUUGUUCUUAUGUUGAUAAAUCGAUGAGCAUCAAGAUUAAAAGGUGUGGAAUCCAAAUACCAGAUCCAGAAAGGUUAUGCAGAUGAGCAGUAAGAGUGGUUUACCAUUUAAGGUGUUUAAAUUGCAACUAUUGAUAUUUGUAUAUUUAUUGUCAUUUAAACCAA